rnacentral:tRNA from 1 species
GGGGAUUUAGCUCAGUGGUAGAGCACUUGCCUAGCAAGUGCAAGGACCUGGGUUCGGUCCCUAGCUCCG